GCCCAAAUAGCUCAGUUGGUAGAGUGUCAGACUAUAGAUCGAAAAUGCCUGGUUCGAUCUCGGGUUCGGCA
rnacentral:tRNA from 1 species